GAAAUGCGAUAAGUAAUGUGAAUUGCAGAAUUCCGUGAAUCAUCGAAUCUUUGAACGCACAUUGCGCCCUCUGGUAUUCCGGGGGCAUGCCUGUCCGAGCGUCAUUGCGAACCCCUCAAGCACGGCUUGUGUGAUGGGCCCUCCCGCGUCUUGGUCGUCAAGACGGGCCCGAAAUGCAGUGGCGGCUUCGCGGUUAUCCGAUCAGCCAGAGCGUAUGGGGACUUUCUCUCUGUCAAACGCCCGCGGCGCGGACCGACGCCUGUCGACCUUUAUUCAUCUUUUUCUCGGUUGACCUCGGAUCAGGUAGGGAUACCCGCUGAACUUAAGC
rnacentral:misc_RNA from 1 species